GUGCUGCACUUCAUUCCAGCCUGCUGAAAUACGAUAUCUAAGGAGUCCCCGCCUAUUUGUUUCAUAUAUAGCAUUACUACAGGAUUGCAUACGAGCUGCAUCCAGCCAUACUUCAACCAAGAGCCCCAGAAGCUGCUUCCAGGGAAUUCAUACUGAGCAAAAUGCAGCUCACCUUGCCUGGACUGGGGUUAAACCUUUACCUGUUUUUUUAUGCAGCUGCUACCUUCUGUCUGGUCAGUGUGCUCCUGAAAGUCACCCGGCUAUACCAAAGGAGGCAAAAGCUGAUCAGAUCUUUGGAGAGCUUCCCAGGGCCACCAAAGCAUUGGUUUUAUGGACACACCAAUGAGCUCGGUCGAAUUGGAGAACUUACCACAAUGGUGUCUUGGUCGGAGAGAUAUCCCAAGGGUCAUUCCUUGUGGUUUGGAGCUUUCUUGGGGUUUCUCAAUAUCUACCAUCCAGAUUACGCCAAGGCUGUAUACAGCAGAGGAGAUCCGAAGGCUCUUGAUUUCUACAAUUUUUUUCUCCCAUGGAUCGGGAAAGGGCUACUGGUAUUAGAUGGGCCCAAAUGGUUCCAGCACCGGCGACUGUUGACUCCUGCAUUUCACAGUGAUAUUUUAAAGUCAUAUGUGGUACUGAUGGUCAAUUCCACCAAAGUGAUGCUGGAUAAAUGGGAAAGGCUGAUCUCAGAAGAUAAAUCACUGGAUAUUUUCCAGCAUGUUGGGUCCAUGACACUGGACAGCAUGCUGAAGUGUAUCUUCAGUUAUCAAAGCAAUUGCCAGCUUGACAGUAAGAAUACAUAUGUCCAAGCAAUUAGUGACCUCAGUUGUUUGAUGCAGGAAAGAAUACAGACAUUUCUUUAUCACAAUGAUCUAAUCUAUCGCAUCUGUCCUCAUGGAUACCGUUUCUUCAAGGCUUGCAGAAUAGCCCAUCGCCACACAGAAAAGGUGAUUAGGGAAAGAAAGGCACUCCUCAAAGAUGAACGGGAACUUGAGAAGAUCCAAAAGAAGAGAUAUCUAGACUUUCUGGAUAUUCUUCUCUGUGCCAGGGAUGUAAAUGGUGAGGGAUUAUCUGAUGAAGACAUACGUUCUGAGGUGGACACUUUCCUCUUUGAGGGUCACGAUACCACCACCAGCGGGAUUUCCUGGACCUUAUAUGCCAUGGCCCAGAAUCCAGAGCACCAGCAAAAAUGCAGGGAGGAGAUAAAGGAGAUUCUUGGAGAGCGAGAGACUCUGCGAUGGGAUGACCUUAGUAAGAUGACUUACACUACGAUGUGUAUUAAGGAAAGCCUCCGUGUUUAUCCUCCUGUUCCUCAGGUGUACCGAGAGCUCAACAAACCAGUCACAUUUCCUGAUGGAAAGACAUUGCCUGCAGGUGCUUUGAUAUCCCUGAAUAUUUUUGCUCUUCACAAAAAUCCUGACGUGUGGGAGGAUCCUCAGGUGUUUGAUCCUCUAAGGUUUUCACCCGAUAAUUCAUCUCAAAGACAUUCCUAUGCAUUUUUGCCGUUUGCUGCUGGACCCAGGUAAUACAACUAAUGAUGUAAAGCUGUUCACUGAAAAUAGACAGAAGCAAGAUGAAAGAUAGUCAGCCAAAGCAAAACUUGAUUUAUAUGAUCAAUGAGUGAAGUUCAUCCUCAGAAUUAUGGAUUGCUGCUUACCUGUGUCUGGUUCUCACUUAUAUUGUGACAAGGAGAACGGAACAGCCCCCUUCCAUGGGACAGAAGGAAUUGCAUUGGGCAACAGUUUGCUAUGAUGGAGUUGAAACUGGCGGUUGCUCUGACUUUGCUGCGCUUCCAAGUUGCACCAGAUCCUGCUAAUCCUCC